GCCUCGGUGGUGUAGUGGUAGUAGCACCCGUUAACGUUAUGGAUGAAACGCGGGUUCGAUCCCCAGCUGAGGCC